AGGGGUUUGGAGAGGCAUCUCGCUGCUAUUAUAAUGGUACUACUCAUAUGGAUUGUCGGCCUCAUUAGGAUUAGGGUUAAGCUCAAGUCUUGGAAUCUUAGAGCUUGAUGAGCUUGAUUCAUCGAGCCGAGACUCAUAACGUGAUCUUUCAGAGAUCCUUUCGUCUUUCCUAUAGACUCUGCAUACAACACAAUCAUCCAACCGCAACAAACAAACAAACAAGAAACAUUAUGAUAGAUAUUAAUCUACAAAAGCGUCUUAACACAAAACAUAGGAUAAAUGAAUAAAGGACUUCAUAUAUACCCUCGUAUCAUUGACACCAGUUCUUCUUGGAGGCUUUGGAGGUUCAAAAACUCUGAAUUCAUGCAUGAUCCAG
rnacentral:lncRNA from 1 species